rnacentral:rRNA from 1 species
GAUUAAGUUAUUAAGGGCGCACGGUGGAUGCCUUGGCACUAGAAGCCGAUGAAGGACGUUACUAACGACGAUAUGCUUUGGGGAGCUGUAAGUAAGCUUUGAUCCAGAGAUUUCCGAAUGGGGAAACCCAGCAUGAGUUAUGUCAUGUUAUCGAUAU